ACACCUACCAUGCCUGCUUUGGAGGGGGGGGGGCGUGUCCUAGCCCUGAGAGUUGUAAGGUUCUUAAUCUAAUGGAGUGGGACUACUGCCUGUUGCAUUACAAAUCUAAUAGCAUCAGCACGGUGCAAGGCAUUUUGUUUCAGGGCACCUACUCACUCGGAGAAGAGAAUAGGAAGGAUGUGACUACAUGUCCAGGUAGGAAGUCAAGGCAGGGAGAAAACCCACGCAAGGCAUCAGGAAACAGGCUGUGGGAGGUUUUGGAAUGGACUAGCAGAAACGGACACCUAAAUCGCUUUUAAGAUGGCAACUCUGUUUUGUUUCUGUUCUCGGGAUUUUUGUUUGAUGUGGUCUGUUUCUUUUAUUUGAUUCCCCCCAAAUGGACAUGGGGGGGGGACGACGACAAACGCUCUGAAAUAAUGGUAAUAAGUAAUUAAUUACAGGCUCUAAGCAAACUCAAAUGAUGACCUCUGGGACAAUCCUGUUACCUGCAGAGGGUGGGAUAAGUACCACAGAUGAUGGGCAAGGGAGAUCCAUCAAUUGCCAGGAUGAACAAUCCCGGCAUCAAAGAGCCUCUCUUUCGUGUAGCCCAUUUCAAACAUUCCAAGUGCUUCACCCUCCCUCCGACUCUGCAGUCCUUGCAACGGCCCUGCUUACUAGGGCAGUACAAUAUUCCCCCCACACUGACGAUGGAGGGGUUGAGGCAGGGAGAACAGCUGUUUGCCUAUGGCUGCCUACUGUGUUUGUGACUGAAGUGAGAUUUGAACCAGCCACAGCCCUGCUCGCAUUCUUAGCUGCUCCACUGCCUUCUUAAAGAACAGGUGGGCUAGCCAGGUGUGGGGAACCUUUGGUCCUCCAGAUGUUGCUGAACUCCAACUCCCAUCACCCCUGGCCUUUGGGCAUGCUGGUUGGGGCUGUUGGGAGUUGUAGUUCCGCAAACAUCUAGUGGGGCCAAAGGUUUCACACACCUGGGUCAGACAAAAGAAAGAGAUUAGGACAGCUAAGAUCAGCAUAAUUAACAACCUUACAUCUUAGUUCUUUUUCCUUAUGAGGAAGAUCACUGUUCUACCCAUUUUACAGAUAUGUUGGUAAGAUAAAGGCAUUCAUAGUCAAACAGGAAUUUUUCACACAAAGGUUUUGAGUCUCUCUCUUGCCUGGUUGUUGCUCACUACAGAAGAGAAGCAUCUGUAACCUGAGUUUUUGCAGUCCUAUUAGCAGCACUCCCUUCUACAUGUCUGUUUCCAGGUAAAUGGGCAUAGGAUUGUAGACUAUGUUUCACAUCUGAAAAUGCCCACUCCAAUCCCCUGGUCUGGCACCAUUCUAAACCACUCAUGACAAAAGCCCAUCACAGCAGCCGUGCUGGGAAGAACUUACAGGAACACCUUUUCCAGAGGUCCCUCUUUACCAAUGACAGUUUCUAGAUUUUGGAGUCUGCCUUUGGCAAAACACUUUUUCCAUUUUCUCCCCUUGCGGGGUAGGUGAGAGCAAAACAUAGUGGGACUUAAUCCAAAAUAAGUAUGGUUUAAGACUGCAGCCCUGAUUACUUAUCCUACUUACUUCCUCAUUUCAUAUAUAUUUUUUACACCACUUGACUGUAAAAAAAGCGGUUUACAACAAUAUAAAGACAUAAAAUUGUGAAAAAUUCACAACCAUAUUUUAAAACACACUGAAGUUAAAAUACUAAAGCAGAUUAAAAUUACCUCAGCUUUCUAAGCACCAGGGGAGGCUUGUCUAAACAAGAGUGUUUUUAGCAGGUGCCGAAAACUGUACAGUGAAGAUCUCUGCUUGAUCUCAAUAGGCAGGGAGUUCCAAACCGCCACACUAAAUGCCUGAGUUCUUACAAAUGCAGAAAAUGGGUAUUAGGUGGCACCUUCAGUAGUGCCAAUUCAUAUGAUGAAAGAGAGGUUUUCACGGCUGGUUUACUUUGGGCUUGUGAUGCCUGCUCCUCCUCACCCUUAAUGUAUCUUUAAGGCCCCUUCCCUACAAAUAUUCUGUCUGAGGGCCUGGAUCAGACCAGUUAAUGCCUGGGGAGGGGAUUCUCUUCCAACAACGGCACCCCACCUGUUUUAGGCCUGUCAGAGACCAGGAGGUUCAGCCUGAGACAAGAGGUUCUGCCAUACUGUGAACUGAGCAGCAGGUGGUCACAGAGCCAUUAUUAUUAUUAUUAUUAUUAUUAUUAUUAUUAUUAUUAUUAUUAUUAUUAGCCACCCAUCUGACGGGGUUUCCCCAGCCACUCUGGGCGGCUUCCAGCAAAAUAUUAAAAACACAGCCAAACACCUGUCCUUAGAAACUUCCCUAUACAGAGCUGUCUUUAGAUGUCUUCUAAAAGUUGUGCAGUUAUUCAUCACCUUGACAACUGCUGGGAGGGCGUUCCACAGGGCGGGUGCCACUACCAAGAAGGCCCUCUGCCUGGUUCCCUGAAAUUUCGCGUCUUGCGGUGAGGGAACUGCCAGAAGGACCUCGGAGCUGGACCUCAGUGUCCGGGCUGAACGAUGGGAGCAGAGAUGCUCCUCAGGGUAUACACUUGAGGUGUGUUAGCCUCUCCAGAGGCACAAAGAAGCAGCCACUUCAGAUGACAGGCCUAGGGUACCACUAAGGGGGACAGAAUAGGGAACAGGCCAUGUUGGGCCACUGCUUUCGUUGGGUGUUUUAACUUUGGUUUUUUAAAAAAGUCAUGGGAGCGUGUUUGAUUAAAAGAGGGGAACUGGGAAUGGGGCUUGUGGGUUUUGUCAGAGCCCUCCACCUGUUCUCCAUAAUUCUGCACGAGGCAAAAUCCAGCAGGAGUUUCUCCUGUGCAAGGUUCAAAACUGAACACACACAGCGUCUGUUUAUUUUAAGAAGGCUUAUGCAGAAGCACUUUCCACUGGAUUGUGCCCCUGCCAGUGUGAGAGCCAGUGUGGUGUAGUGGUUAAGAGCAGUAGACUCGUAGUCUGGGGAACCGGGUUCGCGUCUCCGCUCCUCCACAUGCAGCUGCUGGGUGACCUUGGGCUAGUCACACUUCUCUGAAGUCUCUCAGCCUCACUCACCUCGCAGAGUGUUUGUUGUGGGGGAGGAAGGGAAAGGAGAAUGUUAGCCGCUUUGAGACUCCUUAGGGUAGUGAUCAGUGGGGAGGGGGGUGCCAUUCAGAUUUUACAUCUCGGUCAUCAAAAUGCCACCAAAGUAUGGAUGCUGGCACUCUGAAAGAUUAACUCAGGAAGUCAAGGCAUUGGCUGGAAAAGGAGAAGAGGAUAACUGUAUUGCGACACGGCCAUCCUUUUCUUACACAUGCAAUGGACCGUCAUUCACAGUGGCACUUGCACCUGACCUGUGUUUGGAGGGUGGUUUGGGUGGGAAGGAAGUAGGGUUGGACGUGGAGGUUGUUAUCCCAUGUUAUUUUUUAAAAAACCAAUGAAAUACAUUUAAAAAUAGAACGCCACGGGCAUCUCUGUCCCUAGCAGAGGCAGCUGUGUCAUGGCUUGGCAAGGAUUGUACUACCUGCUGAUCUGUGAAGCGGAUUGGCUCUCUGCUCGCCAUGGGCCUUUCAAUAUCCCACAGCUUUAGGGGCGGUGCUUUAUGUAUGGAAUCUUCCUUUUACUCCCAUAAGCUUAGCUCGUUUCUUGUUUCUGGCUCUGUUAAAGACUGUCCGUCUCAGGGCCAGGCCAGAUUUACAACAGGGAGUUUUUUAGGGGCACCCGUCCGUAAGGUACAAAUGGUGCCUCUUCAAGCUUGAGGCGCUGUUUCGUGACUCAAGAAUCGCCUCCUAGCACCCUCAGUUUGUGUGCAAAGGAUUCCAGGUUCAGGAUUCCCUGGCAUCUCCAGGUAGGGCUGUGAAAGACUCCUGUCUGAAACUGCAGGAUCGCUGCCUGUGCCAAGCUAGAUGGGCCGAUGUGUUUAAGGCAGGCAUCCCCAAACUUCGGCCCUCCAGAUGUUUUGGGCUACAAUUCCCAUCAUCCCUGACCACUGGUCCUCUUAGCUAGGGAUCAUGGGAGUUGUAGGCCAAAACAGCUGGAGGGCCGCAGUUUGGGGAUGCCUGGUUUAAGGGAACUUCAUAUUUUCUUGAAAUGUCUGGGGCUGCCCCCAAUUAUACAGACCUUCCUGCCCAUUUGCCACAUGGCCUGGCUUUAUCUGCUUGCACCCUCCAUCUUCCAGGGCUCACCAGAGCACUGGCUCCAGCAAAAGGCCGGCCUCUCCCCCCCCCCCCAUCCUCCUUCCACAGCUAAAUUCUUCAGCUACCGUCUUGGACUGCACUUCGCACUCUGCUGCGGGAGUCUGGGCAGCAACAGACUCACCAUAUAUGGUCAGUUUUGGGGUUUCUUCGUAGGCUGGUUCUAUAUAAGGCAUAGUUUGGCAGGAUGUGCAUCUGGCAAGCGGCAGGAUAUCUGCCCCGAGACCCCAGGUGAGGGAGACCACCACCACUGCCAUAAACACACACCCCAACAAACACAUUCCUCAGGCAGAGGGACCUCCUCCUCAGCCAUCAAAAUCAAAAGUUCUUUUGGAACAGUGAGGAUUGUGAUACAAGAACAAACUUUCAUGCAGGAUGGGAGUUACCUGUUAAGGAGAAGGUGGGAGACAGGCUGUCCAGGAUUUGGCAAGCUCCUGCAAACCAUCAACGCCAGUUUCCUACAAAAGAUAGAGUUACUGUUCCUCUGUCCUAGCAGAGGGACAACAGAGAGAGCCACAGUUCUUAAAAUAUUAGGGAGGGAACUCAGUUACCAUUUGCUGGAAAGCCAUGGCUGAGAAAACAAAGCUCUUGACUGUUGGGAAGUAAGCAUUUUCAGCACAGUGCCUCCCUCUAGUGAGACAAUUGGCAUCCUUGUGCACCUUCCAACUGAUACGGGGAGUCUGCAAACAAAAGUUUGAGUUGCACAGAACUCUUCCAGCAGAAUGAAGAGGUGACCAUUGGUGAGCUGCAGGGAGCAAAAGCAAAUAUUUUUAGUUUUCCUCCAACUGAAAUAGAAACUCUUGCACUAUGGGUGGAAGCUAGAUGUGGGGAGAGUAAAUCUAGUUUUGUAAACAAGAUGGGGGGGCACCUGACUUGCCACCAGUACAAGUGAAAGGGAUCUAGGGGUCUUGGUAGACCACAAAGCUUAGUGUGAUGAGUCAACAGUGUGAUGCAGUAGCACAAAAAGCUAUUUCUAUUCUAGGCUGCAACAGACGUAUAGCGUCCAGAGUGAGGGAAAUACAGUAAUGUUGUUGUUGUUUAGUCAUUUAAUCAUGACUGACUCUUCGUGCCCCUUGGACCAUAGCACACCAGGCACUCCUGUCUUCCACUGCCUCCCACAGUUUGGUCAGACUCAUGUUGGUAGCUUCAAGAACACUGUCCAACCAUCUCAUCCUCUGUCGUCCCCUUCUCCUUGUGCCCUCCAUCUUUCCCAACAUCAGGGUCUUUUCCAGGGAGUCUUCUCUUCUCAUGAGGUGGCCAAAGUCUUGGAGCCUCAGCUUCAGGAUCUGUCCUUCCAGUGAGCAUUCAGGGCUGAUUUCCUUAAGAAUGGAUAGGUUUGAUCUUCUUGCAGUCCAUGGGACUCUCAAGAGUCUCCUCCAGCACCAUAAUUCCAAGGCAUCAAUUCUACGGUGAUCAGCCUUCUUUAUGGUCCAGCUCUCACUUCCAUACAUCACUACUGGGAAAACCAUAGCUUUAACUAUACGCACCUUUGUCAGCAAGGUGAUGUCUCUGCUUUUUAAGAUGCUGUCUAAGUUUGUCAUUGCUUUUCUCCCAAGAAGCAGGCGCCUUUUGAUUUCGUGACUGCUGUCACCAUCUGCAGUGAUCAUGGAACCCAAGAAAGUAAAAUCUCUCACUGCCUCCAUUUCUUCCCCUUCUAUUUGCCAGGAGGUGAUGGGACCAGUGGCCAUGAUCUUGGUUUUUUUGAUGUUGAGCUUCAGACCAUAUUUUGUGCUCUCUUCAUAGCUGCCAAGUUAUCCCUUUUUUAAAGGGAUUUUCCCUUAUGCUGAAUAGGCUUCCUCGCGAGAAAAGGGAAAACUUGGCAGCUAUGGCUCUCUUCUUUCACCCUCAUUAAAAGGUUCUUUAAUUCCUCCUCACUUUCUGCCAUCAAAGUUGUGUCAUCAGUAUAUCUGAGGUUGUUGAUAUUUCUUCCGGCAAUCUUAAUUCCGGUUUGAGAUUCAUCCAGUCCAGCCUUUCGCAUGAUGAAUUCUGCAUAUAAGUUAAAUAAGCAGGGAGACAAUAUACAUCCUUUCCCAAUUUUGAACCAAUCAGUUAUUCCAUAUCCAGUUCUAACUGUAGCUUCUUGUUCCACAUAGAGAUUUCUCAGGAGACAGAUGAGGUGAUUAGGCACUCCCAUUUCUUUAAGAGCUUGCCAUAGUUUGCUGUGGUCGACACAGUCAAAUGCUUUUUCGUAGUCAAUGAAGCAGAAGUAGAUGUUCUUCUGGAACUCUCUAGCUUUCUCCAUAAUCCAGCGCAUGUUUGCAAUUUGGUCUCUGGUUCCUCUGCCCCUUCGAAAUCCAGCUUGCACUUCUGGGAGUUCUCUAUCCACAUACUGCUUAAGCCUGCCUUGUAGAAUUUUAAGCAUAACCUUGCUAGCGUGUGAAAUGAGCGCAAUUGUGCGGUAGUUGGAGCAUUCUUUGGCACUGCCCUUCUUUGGGAUUGGGAUGUAGACUGAUCUUCUCCAAUCCUCUGGCCACUGCUGAGUUUUCCAAACUUGCUGGCAUAUUGAGUGUAGCACUUUAACAGCAUCAUCUUUUAAAAAUUUAAAUACCAGUAGUUCAGCUGGAAUAUCAUCACUUCCAUUGGCCUUGUUAUUAGCAGUGUUUUCUAAGGCCCAUUUGUCACGGUCUGGUCGGCGGGCGUCAGGACCAGAGGCAAGAUGGUGGUGAAGAAGCAGGGUCGAAGGCAGAGGCGAAGGUCCACGGGGCACGCAGCAAGGCGAAGGCAAAGCGAGGGUCCAGGAACAAGAAGCAAGGCGAAGGUCCACGGGGCAAGAGCAAGGCGAAGGCGAAGCAAGGGUCCAAGGAGCAAGGCGAAGGAUCCAGGAACAAGAAGCAAGGCGAAGGUCCACGGGGCAGGAGCAAGGCGAAGGCGAGGCAGGGGUCCAAGAAGCACGGCAGCAACAAGGCAAGGGUCCAAGGAACAGGAGGCCAGAUGCAACCAGGCAGGGAUAGCGUUGCUGUGGCAAAGAGCUGAAGGGAAAUGCUGGGCUUUUAUCCCUCCCAGCUCCUGCCACCAGGUGCAGUGAGAUCUCAAGUGGCCUCACCUGGGUGAUUACUCCUUGCCUCUCCAGCACAAGCUGAGGACUUCACCUGUGUGGCCACGCCUUGCUUCUCCAGCACAAGUUGAGGCAUGCCCCAGUCCUGCAAAGCACUACAGGCCCCAGAGCCUGACUCCUGCCCAUACUCCUGACACCAUUUGACUUCACUCUCCGGGAUGUCUGGCUCCAGGUCAGCAACCACACUACCUGGGGUGUACGAGACCUCCAUAUCUUUCUGGUAUAAUUCCUUUGUGUAUUCUUGCCACCUCUUCUUGGUGUCUUCUGCUUCUGUUAGGUCCUUUCCACUUUUGUCCUUUAUUAUGGUAAUCUUUAUACGAAAUGUUCCUUUCAUAUCUCCAAUUUUCUUGAACAGAUCUCUAGUUUUUCCCAUUCUGUUGUUUCCCUCUAUUUCUUUGCAUUGCUCGUUUAAGAAGGCCCUCUUGUCUCUCCUUGCUAUUUUUUGGAAUUCUGCAUUUAAUUUCCUGUAUCUUUCACUAUCUCCCUCACAUUUUGCCUGCCUUCUCUCCCCCGCUGUUUGUAAGGCCUCGUUGGACAGUCACUUUGCUUUCUUGCAUGAGGGAAAUAAUAGUACCUCUCUAUUCUGCCUUUGUCAGACCACAUCUGGAGUACUGAGUCCAGUUCUGGCGCCACAGAUUAAGAAGGAUAUCGACAAGCUGGAAUGUGUGCAGAGGAGGGCGACCAAGAUGAUCAAGGGUCUGGAAGCCAAGCCUUAUGAGGAAUGGUUGAGGGAGUUGGGUAUGUUUAGCUUAGAAAAGACAGUGAGAGGAGAGGCUAGGACCUGAACAAAGUGAGUAGGUCCCUGUAUAAUAUCAGACAGGGGAUCCGGGUGAUUCUUAUUUUGAGGGUCCAAUUGGUGAUUGUAGUGCGCAAAGAACACCUGUGUUGGAAUGUGAAUAUACGAUUGCUGGGGAGUACAGAGCAGUUCUGGCGCUCAGGUAGAAAGCAAGAGACCUCUAUCUGCCAGGGAGGUAAGAGUUGUACCCACAUUCCUCCCUUAAGACAACUGGGAGAAUGUUUCAUUUUGCACAGAGAGACGUCAUAGGAAGCUACUCUGCAAACCGGAGGGCCAGAACAAGGUGAUGUCUUCACAACCAGUGUGAAGAACCCAGUAUCAUUGGAAUAAACAUUAGAUUAGUGACAUGCUAAGAAAGUUAGAAUAGGGGUUCAACCCUGGCCAAACUGGCAUCCACAAUGGGCCAUAUAUACGGAGGAACUUCCAGUUCCUGAAAGAAGCCCCAAGCAUAGCUUGGAAUUUGUUAGGGGGGCAGGGAGCUGCUGGCAUACACUGCAUGGAGUAGUGUUAAUUCAGAAAACAACCACAGAUUGGAAUCCCUGUUUUCUGUCCCACCAGACCCAAUUCAUUAGAAGCACAAAGCUCACCUCCUUUGCCCAUAUUGCAAGCUCAUACUGCCUGCUCAUACCCAAGUCCUCAUAACACAGUACACCCAUUUGACUGGACGUGGUGUGUCCCUGGGAAACACAAGGCGAGAGCUACCAUGGCACUCUGUCUGGGAAGCAUGGAGAAACUUUCUCCAAGGCAAAAUUCGCAUUGCUCUGGGCAUGACAGACUACAGCUAUUUGCUUGUUUCUGUGAAGCUGUGCACAGAGAUUGUCCCAUCCUGCUUCGCCUUCUUGUGUUGGAAGCAGAGAUUAACACACAGAGUAAUCCGUGACAGGGUAUUCUUGUAAAGACAGUGCCCCAUGAACAUCACAUGCUAGCUUCAGAUUUCUAAGCACAAAAGGAAAGAGCCAGUCUUAACUUCUUCAAAUGCAGCUCCACAAGCAGGCUACAGACUAGUCCAUUACUUUCCAUAUUCUUUUAAAUGUGUGUGUGUGUGUUUGACAGAAAGCAAAUAUGGUUUUCGUGGGGGGGGAGGGUACUGGAUUUGACCCAGAGUGCCUCAGGACCCAAUCCUUGCUCAGCUAUGAAGUUUAAUACCGAGUGACGUUGAACCAGUUUCUCUCAGCCUAACCCACCUCACAGGGUUGUUGGAAAGAUAAAAUAGGGAAUAGGAAUAAAAUAGGGAAACGGCAUGCAGAAAUUUCCUCGGAGGAAGGAAUAAGAUACAGAUACGACAAAUGCCUUCAAAUGCAACUUUUUAAAAAGAGUAUUUUUUUGCUAAAGUUUUAGUCAUAAGAAAACGGGAAUUAGAAUAGCACGUAUGCAACCUGACAACGCAGGUUGAAUCCUGACAAGAAAGGAGUACUGUUUGUGGGGGACAGGAGGCGGGCAGGUGUGGAGGACUCCCUGGUCCAAACCUAAACGGGGUAAUUGUGCCCCUGAAGGACCAGGUGCGCAGCCUGGGAGUCAUUUUGGACUCACAGCUGUCCAUGGAGGCGCAGGUCAAUUCUGUGUCCAGGGCAGCUGUCUAUCAGGUCCACCUGGUACGCAGGCUGAGACCUGCAGACUGUCUUGCCAGAGUGGUGCAUGCUCUGGUUAUCUCCCGCUUGGACUACUGCAAUGCGCUCUACGUGGGGCUACCUUUGAAGGUGACCCGGAAACUACAACUAACCCAGAAUGCGGCAGCUAGACUGGUGACUGGGAGCGGCCGCCGAGACCACAUAACACCGGUCUUGAAAGACCUACAUUGGCUCCCAGUACGUUUCCGAGCACAAUUCAAAGUGUUGGUGUUGAGCUUUUAAAGCCCUAAACGGCCUCGGUCCAGUAUACCUGAAGGAGCGUCUCCACCCCCAUCGUUCUGCCCAGACACCGAGGUCCAGUACUGAGGGCCUUCUGGCAGUUCCCUUGUUGCGAGAAGCCAAGUUGCAGGGAACCAGGCAGAGGGCCUUCUCGGUGGUGGCGCCCACCCUGUGGAACGCCCUCCCAUCAGAUGUCAAAGAGAAGAACAGCUACCAGAUUUUUAGAAGACAUCUGAAGGCAGCCCUGUUUAGGGAGGCUUUUAAUGUUUAAUAGAUCACUGUGUUUUAUUUUUCUGUUGGAAGUCGCCCAGAGUGGCUGGGGAAACCCAGCCAGAUGGGCGGGGUAUGAAUAAUAACUUAUUAUUAUUAUUAUUAUUAUUAUUAUUAUUAUUAUUAUUAUUAUCUUGCAAAGAGAUUCUUAACUGCCAUAUAGAAUUAAACAUGCAAAUUACUGUUCUGUGUUAUGCUAUAUAUACUGUUCUGGGUGAUAUGUACUGCAGCUCAUAUUUAGGCAACCUUUCCAGUAAGCUUUCUGUGGUCCCAAAUAAAAAAAUUCUCAGUCUUCCCUCUGAAAUCCAUAACAGUGGAUAAUAAGCAACAACACAUCCAUGAGAGAAUGUGGGGGGAAAGGGAUGAAAAGACAAGUGUGAAAAAGGACAAUUUAGGAGACGACACAAAAGGCUCUGAACUCUUGCAUCUUAUGCUUAGCUCUCCCUGUAGUGGUAAAAAUCCAGCAGCUGCUAUAAUGAAGGCUGGUCAAGGCAAAUUCUGAUUGAAUUAAUGCAAGUAUUUCCCUUCACUCGUGUGCAUUCCUGCCUCUGUUGUGUUGUCAGUACCAGGUCUGAUGGUUCCAUCCAAGUUAUGUAGUCCAAGCACUUGCUUCAAAGUUUCCUGGACAGGAGUGGGCCUGGCUAGUGGAUAUAGUACAGAGCCUAGCAAUCAAAAUAUUUCCAGAGAGCUCCUGUUAGAAGCCUAGCCCAUUCUCAUCAGAACCAAUAAGCAUUCCGCAAACCAGCUCAAAUUAUUCGGACCGCAAAGAAACAGAAACUGAGAAAAGAACCUUCUAAGCUUCUAUUACAGGCAUCCCCAAACUACGGCCCUCCAGAUGUUUUGGCCUACAACUCCCAUGAUCCCUAGCUAACAGGACUAGUGGUCAGGGAAGAUGGGAAUUGUAGUCCAAAACAUCUGGAGGGCCGAAGUUUGGGGAUGCCUGUUCUAUUACAUGUGCAGCUCAAGUAAGCGACCCUAAUCAUUCAAGCCUGGCUGCUCACUGUAAUUUUCCCCCGUUUCUUUUCUUAGCUCUGGGGCGUAGGCUGGGUGUAGCCAGGAUUUUUGUUGGGGGGGGGGCAGCAGGCCUUUUUGGGGGUUGGGGGCAGAAUCUCAGUUAGCUAUGUAUUUUUUUUUAUGGGGGGCAGCUGCCCCUCCCUGGCCAACCUUGGCUAUGCCCCUAUGGGUGUAGGGGUGAAACUAGGCUUCAUUUCAGCUUGCACUGAAAUAAAGACCCAGUUUGCCCCUCUGCAUGCACAUUUGCUCACAGGCUGUGAGCCUCAAUGACGCCCCUCUGGAGGCUUCACCCAGGGCAAAAACCUCAGCUUCCCCUUCCUGUAGCGAUGGCGCUGCUGUGAUGCUCCUAAGUGCAGUGAAUUAUUGGUGUUUUGAUUGUCUGAGUUUUGUGCAUCAGUCCAAAGUUCCUGUGACAGAGAAAUCCGAGAACAUCUCUAAACAAAGGACAUACUGUCCCACUAGCUUUCGGUUGGUGCCCAAACUGAUUGGCAGCAGUUCCAGACUAUUAUAAUUUUCACUAUUUUGGGGUGGGAUCCAAUCACCUCCUGGAAAAUUCAGGUUGGCGCUUUUAGCCGACAAACAUGCCUCUCUAAAAGAUUGGACUGUUUGCAAUAAGGAAAGUGACAGGAAAGUGUGGGUAACACUUGCUUUGAUGUGACAUGGUCUAGCCUCUUUGCUAUCAUAUCAGCCUGAGCGCUCACCAAAUGGCCAAUGUUGCCUAACCUCCCUCCAAACAUGUCUGAGUGAAUGCUCAGUAAACAGGUCAGGUGAAAGCACCCCCAGCCUCUUGAAGGUUGCUAAUACCUUCAAGGACACGGGUGGCGCUGUGGUCUAAACCACUGAGCCUCUUGGGCUUGCCGAUCAGAAGGUUGGCGGUUCGAAUCCCCGCAACAGGGUAAGCUCCUGUUGCUCUGUCCCAGCUCCUGCCAACCUAGCAGUUCGAAAGCAUGCCAAUGCAAGUAGAUAAAUAGGUACCACUGUGGCGGGAAGGUAAACAGUGUUUCAAUGUGCUCUGGCACUUGUCACGGUCCUCCGUGCACCAGAAGUGGUUUAGUCAUGCUGGCCACAUGACCCGGAAAGCUGUCUUGACAAACGCCAGCUCCCUCGGCCUGAAAGCGAGAUGAGCGCCACAACCCCAUAGUCACCUUUGACCGGACUUAACCAUCCAAGGGUCCUUUGCCUUUUACCUUUGUACCUUCAAAUACCAGACGAGAUUUUUGUUUCAUUACUAAUAUUUUAUGCUUCUUCACCUUUGAUCUCUUGCAACUGCAGCACAUCAUAAAACCAUAGAUUUCAAGGGACUAAAGAGGCCAAAUAAUGCAGAGGGAGAACUUGGAUGAAGUACACUAACACACACCACCGAUCAAUCUAUGUGCAGGGAUAGACCAAACAGUCUCUGGCGUGGAAAGUUUUUGACACCCCAGGCAUUUGUUCAACUUUGGAACAAGUUAACUUUGUUCACACGUAAUGCUGGCCAUAAACAAUGGUUAGAUAAAUUGGCUGUCAUGGAGUGGCUGGAUGCAGAGGAGCGGUGGGAGACACCAGCUAGGGCCAUACCCUCAGGGGAGCCCCCAAUGGUAGAAGGCUCAGUGCCAGGGGAGUAGCAGUGGGACGACAAGGAGUGGUCAGAGGGAGAAGAGGGAGCAGACUGGGAGGAGGAGGUGUCAGAAGCUUAAGAAGUAACAGCGUAUGGUGAGCAGGAAGAGUCUGUGGCAGAGAGCAGUCCAGAAUCGGAGGCAGAUGCAGAGGCUGGAGAGGACAAGGGCCAAGAGGCAGAGAUGAGGCAAGUAGCUGAAGAAGCCAGGGAGUGUCCCCCCCCACCCCCGCUGCGAUAAGCUCGCCUCCCCACUGGUCUCCCAGAGGUCAUUCUCAAAGACAGACAAGGUGGAUAAAUCUCAGGUUGCUUGGGAAGGUCCCGGAAAAGGACGAGACUUAGGGAGCGGUGGGAAGACAGGGACCUUUGGUCCUUGCAACUGCUUCAUUGGGGCAAGACCUACUAGGAAGGGGUGUUUCUUUGAAUAAAGGGUUAACUUCAAUAUCUGUAUGUUUUAUGAUGGGCACUGCCCCACCAACUUCAGCCUGCCCUCUGCCAGCUCCCCUCUGCCUCCUUUCUCACUUGGAACUGGUCCAAGGGAUGACAACUACCUGUCGGCUUCUCCCCCUUAGUCUCAAGUGUUUUCCGGGUUUCAAGAGAGGAGGAUGGGGGCAAGACUAGAAUUAGUUGGCUCUGCCUACUAUUGAGCACCAGGCCCAGUGGAGCACCAGCCACCACUAGCUGUUCUAAUGUGGGCUGCGCAUUCACUAAUAUCAUGAUCAUAGGAUAGGGUUGACAUAUUUCAAAAUGCGAAAAGUUGUUGAGCAAAAUUUGGCAAAAAUGACACUGCUGACAUGGGUUGCCGUAGGUCCGGAUUUCCCCUGGACCUUUUUCCGAUUUCCACCCGGACACUGCUUCCAACUGCAGUAUUCCAGGUAUGUCCAGGAAAUUCUGUACAUGUGGCAACCCUGUGGUAGGAGACAACACCUAGGUGAAUGGGCAUUGUCAUUCAAAUGGUGUGUGUGCACUGUGUUGUGUGAUCAGUUAUGUGGGGCAGGGCUUACCUGCCCCCCCAUAUUUUAUUCAAGUUGGCACCCCUGCUCCUGGUGUUCACUUAUUUUUAUGGUAUCAAUAUCACAAUGAUUUGUGCACACAUCAGUCUGUUGAAUGGACAUGGAAGCUCCAAGUUCCCCCACAAAUUGUAAUACAGUGGUGCCUCAACUUACGAAUUUAAUCCGUUCUGAAGGCACCUUCGUAAGUCGAAAAAUUCGUAAGUUGAAAAACGCCAUUGGAAACGUGAUUUCCCGUAGGAAUGCAUUGGAAGCGGAAAAAUUCGUAAGUCGAAGCAACCCCAUCUAAAAAUUUGUAAGUCGAAAAAUCCCUAUCUAAAACCGCCGCGGUUUCCCCCCGGAUGUCGAGACAUUCGUAAGCGCGCGGCCAUUUGCCCCAUUCGUAAGUCAAAAAAUUCGGUUGUCGAGUCAUUCGUAAGUCGAGGUACCACUGUAUAAGAAAACCAAAUGUCCACACAAUGUCAGCCAUGAAGUUCAAUACGGACAACAUUAUAAAUGACAAUACUUUGUUGGUACUCCUUGUUCCAGCUAUUAAGUAGCUAGUUGAGUGCACCCCGGCAGCCAUCUUGGUUACCUGCCAUGACAUCAAAACGCUACCUAUGUGAUAUAGCCUGAAGAACAUUACAGUCUCAGCUACGCCUGCAGAACAAAGAACUCCAGCUGACUCACACAACUGAGUCAGUUAAGCCACUUUUCACAGGCGGGCGGAAAAAUCAGAAUGCUUGGCAAUGCUUUUUAACCUUUUUUCUUAUUCGUUUUGCAAACCGCGAGCUGUAGGGUUUUAAGCUGCGUACAAAAAUGGUCAGACAUGAUGCUUUAGACUGAGUUCCAAACCGAAUAUGAAAACAGGGUCCAGAAGAGCUCAGUGAAGCUGCUUAUCAGUAUUGGGAAAGGUCCCCCCCCCC